rnacentral:lncRNA from 1 species
CUCUGUGAAAUCCACCAUAUCAGAGACGAUAAACUCACUGAACAAAGGCUCAGUGACUUGCCAUCUCCAGCAGAACCCAGAGUAGAACAGCAGAACUGGCAAGCACAUCAAAGACUGUGAGAAGAACCACUGCCCCACUAUGCCUACACGUUUUACUCAGUGAAACAGGAGAAGAUCAUGGAUGAGCUGGAUGAGGAGGCCAAGAUGAGAGGGGCAAAGACAGGCACCAACUGACAUGGCAAUCAGAACUUAGCUCAGAUGGACUGUGUGGUGUGCCACGUAUCCUAUCUACUGCACUGGAAGGGACGAAAAGACUAAUGCUGACGCUACACCUUAUUCCACUGCUAGCCAUUGUCAACUUUCAAAGAGGCAGCAUCGGACAUGUUUUGCCCAGGAUCUGUAGGUUAUGUAAAAUUGCUGCUGAGUUAAGCGUUUUCAUUGUGAUUAAACAUGCUUGUCAAUAGGAGGAAAGAUCUACUGCUCCCGAUUGCCCUACCAAUUCAGGAUACCUGGGUGGUGUUUACUAAAUGGAAGAAAAUGGACUACUUGUAGUUGUUGUAGACUUUUGUAAGAAACGGUCACUUAAAAAAAAAACAUGAACAGGACCCUAUUCUUCCUUUUCUCCCAAUAAGUAGUCAGUCACUUGUAUAGAAUUAUUGGUACUGCCCCAUUCAGCGCCAUAUGUCUCCCAAAACUGUCUAUAGAACUAAUUCAACCUCCAAUCAAUAAUGUUAAUUCUACAGUGGCCUUGAAAUGUGUGGGAUUUGAAUUGGAACUACUGAACUGAGACAAAGAAACACAAUCAGAUUGAAAUAUAUUUAUGUUGAUAAAGGACGGAGUUGUAAAAAUUGUAUUAUGUCGUUUUUUUACAACACAAAUUACAUCUUCAUGUAAGGUCAGUGGAAUGUUUCAUAGGCUAAAUGUCAGACAUACAGUUGAAGUCGGAGGUUUACAUACACCUUAGCCAAAUACAUUUAAACUCAGUUUGUCACAAUUCCUG